CUUGUCCUAACACAUCAGUAGGUGGCAGAGAGGAGAGAAGCUAUGUCUAUGCUCAGUGUUCUGACCUGUGAACAUCUGAAUGAUUAGUAGCCUAACAUU
rnacentral:snoRNA from 1 species